rnacentral:rRNA from 1 species
AUGGAUGCUGCUGCCGCUGCUGAUGCCGCCGCCGCUGCUGCUGCCGCUGCUGAUCCCACGCUGGAUUUUGACCCAGAUGAACUCAGAGCUGUCUAUGAAAGUACCUCACCUUACAUAGCGGGGUUUUUUCCGUCUUCUCCAGGAGUCAUUGUUAUGUCAACCAACAGACAUGAUGUGGUUGCUGUUCACUCAGAGUUGAUUAGCGAUGACCCUGAAUACCUUCCUAAAAUAGUUCGGUAUUAUUCUAAUAAUACCGAAGCUCGUGUUGACGCAGUGGCAAAACUUCCUGCUGAUGUUACAGUCUUGUUUGCAAAGCGCAAGGGUGAGCGAUUGCCUGACAUUGGAUUUUCAAACCUGGAUCCCCAAGAAGGUGUGUCUGAGAAAGUGGUGACAUUUUUCCCAUACAUGGACACAGUGGCUAUGUUCAAGGGACACAUUGGGUUAAGGAAUGCCACAUCCAGGGACGUGAGGGCACCAGAGCAGGAGGUUCAGCCAUCAUCCAUCAACACAUUCACCUUUACUGCCCCGUAUGCAUCCGUUAGCUUCAGGAAAGAUGGUAAUGAGCAUGAUCCUGAUCUACUGGAGACACGCUUAAUGACUCUUGGCGCUCCUGUGUUCAACUUAAAUGGCCAGAUUGUAGGUAUAUUGAGUGAUGUCGGUAUUGAUUGUAGUCUGAAAUUUGCGAGGAAAGCAGUAUACUUAGGUGAAGUCCGUUCACAACUGCGGGGCGAGCAAGUCAAUUGGCUGAAGGGGGAAGAGAAGGUGAGACGUGGUUUGUGA